rnacentral:piRNA from 1 species
UAUGAUGUCAAAGGGACUGCUGGAGC